rnacentral:rRNA from 1 species
GACGAACGCUGGCGGCGUGCUUAACACAUGCAAGUCGAACGGAAAGGCCCUGCUUUUGUGGGGUGCUCGAGUGGCGAACGGGUGAGUAACACGUGAGUAACCUGCCCUUGACUUUGGGAUAACUUCAGGAAACUGGGGCUAAUACCGGAUAGGAGCUCCUGCUGCAUGGUGGGGGUUGGAAAGUUUCGGCGGUCGGGGAUGGACUCGCGGCUUAUCGGCUUGUUGGUGGGGUAGUGGCUUACCAAGGAUUUGACUGGUAGCCGGCCUGGGCAGGUGAACGGGCACAAUGGGACUGAGGUACGGACCAGAGUGCUAUGGGGGGCAGUGGUGGGGAAUAUUGCACAAAGGGCCGAAGUCUGAUGCAGAGACCUCGCGGUCGGGAAGACGGUCUUUUGGGUAAAAAACGCUUUCGGCUGUUACCCAGCGUGAGUGAAGGUAAAGGGAAAAAAAGCACCGGCUAACUUCGUG